CGGGGGGAGCAAGCGUUGUUCGGAUUUACUGGGCGUAAAGGGCGCGUAGGCGGCCACCGCAAGUCAAUUGUGAAAUCUCCGGGCUUAACUCGGAAAGGUCAACUGAUACUGCGGGGCUAGAGUGCAGAAGGGGCAACUGGAAUCUCGGUGUAGCGGUGAAAUGCGUAGAUAUCGAGAGGAACACCUGCGGCGAAGGCGGGUUGCUGGGCUGACACUGACGCUGAGGCGCGAAAGCUAGGGGAGCGAACGGGAUUAGAUACCCCGGUAGUCCUAGCCUUAAACGAUGAAUGCUUGGUGUCUGGGGUUAUAAAGUCCCCGGGUGCCGUCGCUAACGCUUUAAGCAUUCCGCCUGGGGAGUACGGUCGCAAGACUG
rnacentral:rRNA from 1 species